rnacentral:lncRNA from 1 species
GGGUCCCCUAGGUCGCGGGGCAGCCGGGGCGGAAGGGGCUUGUUCAUUAUUUUGAGAGUUUGUUGUGAACGUCAUAACCUUUCGUCCUUAAAUAUUGCCGAUACUUGACCUACGCAAGAGACAAUGUCAUGUGAUUCAGCCUAAUAUCUCAGAGGAUGCAGCAUUCAAGGUUCUAUCUUGGAAGCAGAGACUGUGCCCUCACCAGAUGCUGAACCUGCUGAGCACCCUGAUCUUCCACUUCACCUUCAUCAGAACUACUGGGGCUGUGGCUGAGAUGUCACAUGGCAGAUAGGAUCACAAAUUUCUGUUGUAUCUGGAUGGAGAUCAGCAGGAGGAUCUAUGGGUACUUCAAAGAGGACAUCCUCUCCUGAAGAACAGAAGAACCUGAAAUGUUUGGAGCCUAAGACUGCUGUGAUUGCACCUGCCAUCUUAUGCAGAAAUGACCUGAAGACAGACUGAAACAACGUGUUCUACAGCCUGAAAAUAUCUACCUUGACUUACAGUUUUAUUAAUGCUGGUGUGAUCAGACUGGACAAAAAUUAGCAUAUGUUAUUAACUGAUCUAAUUCAAGUGCCAAUUCUUAAUAGAAACACAAAACAAUAAAAGCAAUUCAGAAAAUAUUUACUAUUUGAUUUCUUCAAGCUCCAAACAGGCUUGUGCUUAGCUGUAGAAACUUGAAUAUAUACAAAUCUACAUGGAUAGAAUUCUUAGUCUUCUUUGGGCCAGGUGUGUUAGCCCCUUGGGAAAGGAUAAAGUUUUGGAAUAUAUUUUUAUUCAUGAACCUGCUCUCUUUAAGACUUCUGAGGAAAAGAGCUGCUGGGCAGAUGAGUAGAAUAUGUUACUACUGUUCCGACAUGUCUACCCAUCAAAACUAGCUGAUACAGUACACUUUAAUGACCCUUCUAUAGUCAAAACUGACAUUGACAUUGACAUUAACAGAAAAGAUUUGGGACAAAGAACUGUGUUCAUGCAGCAAAUCAGCCUCAAACUUCACCACAAGCUGCACAUUUUAUGCUACUGUAUUCUGCUUAAGCACUUAUUUGUAUUUAUGUAAACUGAAUGAUCCUUUAAUACUUAAGGACUUUAUUCUGGGUGAGUUAGAAUCACACUGUUUUGGCAGGAAAACUCUUUGAUAGGAAAAACUGUAUGGCUUGAUAAUUUAAGAGCUAAAAGUAGCCAAAUCAGGAACUACUGAAAUUCUUCAGUAUCUGUUAGAAUAUCUCCUGUUUGAGCCAUGUUUGUAAAUGAUGUUCAAAGGCAUUUCAAAAGCAUGUAAAUUAAAAAAACAA